rnacentral:rRNA from 1 species
GGACUACACGGGUAUCUAAUCCUGUUUGCUACCCACGCUUUCGUGCCUCAGCGUCAGUUAUGGUCCAGAAAGCCGUUUACACCACCGGUGUUCCUCCUGAUAUCUACGCAUUUCACCGCUACACCAGGAAUUCCACUUUCCUCUCCCACACUCGAGCCCCGCAGUCUAUAGCGCACCCUCCCAGUUAAGCCGGGAGAUUUCACACCAUACUUACAGAGCCGCCUACGCACCCUUUACGCCCAGUAACUCCGAACAACGCUUGCUGCCUACGUAUUACCGCGGCGGCUGGCAC